AGUGAACGCUGGCGGCAGGCCUAACACAUGCAAGUCGAACGGCAGCACAGUAAGAGCUUGCUCUUACGGGUGGCGAGUGGCGGACGGGUGAGGAAUACAUCGGAAUCUACUUUUUCGUGGGGGAUAACGUAGGGAAACUUACGCUAAUACCGCAUACGACCUACGGGUGAAAGCAGGGGAUCUUCGGACCUUGCGCGAUUGAAUGAGCCGAUGUCGGAUUAGCUAGUUGGCGGGGUAAAGGCCCACCUAGGCGACGAUCCGUAGCUGGUCUGAGAGGAUGAUCAGCCACACUGGAACUGAGACACGGUCCAGACUCCUACGGGAGGCAGCAGUGGGGAAUAUUGGACAAUGGGCGCAAGCCUGAUCCAGCCAUACCGCGUGGGUGAAGAAGGCCUUCGGGUUGUAAAGCCCUUUUGUUGGGAAAGAAAAGCAGCAGGUUAAUACCCCGCUGUUCUGACGGUACCCAAAGAAUAAGCACCGGCUAACUUCGUG
rnacentral:rRNA from 1 species